rnacentral:lncRNA from 1 species
CUACUAUACCACCGCGAAAACCGCGAUUUCAAAUAGCGGCCUGUGACCGCUAUCGAAAUUUUGACUGCAAUAACUGCAUAGCUUGCAGGUAAUAUGGGCAGCUUCUCUUCCAAUGUCCUAUCUUGUGGCAGUGGUGGCACUCUGCCUCCUUCGGGUUAGGACAGGGCUUAGCGGGAUCAACUUUGGUCCCACUAGAAGAGGCACCAUCUCGGGCUUUAACCUUGCGAUGGUUCUUGGACGAAGCCUUCCUCUUCUUUCCCUUUCCUUGACCAAUAGCCAAGACAGGAGCAGCGGGUGGAUUGGGAGUUGGUGCAACAGACUUGUCUUUGAAGUUGCUCUCAGCGACCCUCAAGAGACCUUGGAGUUUGCUUAGGGUGACCUCCUCUUUGUUCAUGUGGUAGGUCAUCCUAAAUUGAUUAUACAUCGGAGGCAAAGAGUGAAGCACCAUGUCGAUCGCCAAGUCUUCUCCAAAGUCAACAUUUAACUUGCGAAGGCGGUCGACAUACCUUUGCAUCUUUUGCAGGUGCACGGUAAGAGAUUCUCCAUGACCCAUCUUAGCGGAAAUCAUGUUAGUGAAAAUCUCAUAACGCUCUUGUCUCGCGUUUUGGUGGUAUCUCUCCAAUAAGUCUUGAUGCAUCUCGUACGGGUACAUGUCCUCGUAGGACUUUUGGAAUUCGGAGUUCAUGGUGGCUAUCAUGAUGCAAUGUACCUUCGUUGCAUCUCGCUCAUGAGUUUCAAAAGCGGUAAUUUCAGCCGGAGUAGCGAUUUCAGGGUUGAUUUUCUCGAGCUUCUCAUCGAGGACAUACUCCUUAUCCUCAUAGCGAGCAAUGGUGCGAAUGUAUCUUAUCCAUUCGCUAAAGUUCGUUCCAUCGAAGGUGACCUUUUGGCAAAGGCUCAUCAACGUGAAAGAACUAGCAGCAGCGUUGUUUGCGUUCGACAUCUACAAUUAGAAAAGACAAAGAUAGAUUAGAAUAUGAAUCCCUAAUUAUCACCCAAUAAGAAAAAUUAGGGCUAGGAUCCAACAACAAUAUUUACAUAUUAGAAAAGGGAUGCCGUAAUCUAACAUGCAAAUAAUUUGAAGGUAAGUGAAUGACGAUUCACUAAUUCUCCACCAUAAAACCUAACUAUUAGUCCUAAAUGUAUUGAGAAUUCCUAGGUUCGGAUGAGAUUCAUUGAAACUAUUCAAUGGCAUGUUUAAAUCUCGAUAUGCCCCUCUUGUUUGUGACUGGGAUACCGAGGAUCACAAAGCGGGUGUGAAUUACCAUGCAAAUUCACAUGGUGCCUUCAUUGUAACGAUCACCUAUUCGAUGUGCCGGUAAACCACACACGCUCCAUCGAACUAUGAUAAACAAUGAAUCACCCUUUGCCACCUUUGCUUAGAACCAAUUAGUGUGCCGGUAAACCACACACGCUCCACUAACUUCUUAGCAAGGGUGCAAAGUGUAAUUUCAUGGGAUUGCAUCAAUUCACUUUUCCUAAAGUAACUAAGAUUGGGAAAUUUUAAAAAAAUGUAGUUACUUUGUAUUUCAUAUUAUACUUUUAAUGAGAGGAUGAGGUUGCCCUAUCCUACCCGUUCGGCUAACGACCCUCCACCGAUCAAGCAAGCGGUGGGUGUGAGUGUACACCCAUUAAGCGCCAUUUUAUAGGCCGCAACCUUAUACCCACCUUAUAGAUCGGCUUCGUGAAUGAGGCCUACUAACGGUAAGACUAGCAUUUAGUUAUACAUAUAUAUAUUAUUCUAGUAAUAUCAUAUUAGUAUAGGGUUGUAUUUUAAAACUUUUAAAAUCUAGGGUUUGAAAUUUAAGUUGUCUAAAUUAAAACUUUUAAUCACAAAAAUAAAUUUCAAAACUUGAGGGUAGGUUUUAAACAUUUAAAACAUGGAGGAUCAAAUAACAAAUAAUUUCAAUUAACAAUUAAUAUCCUAAUUAUCUAUAUUUGAUUUAUUCAAGAUUUCUUUUAAAGAUAAUUACCAAAAUAAUCAAAAUAAUUAAUUAAUUAUCAUAUAAGGAAAUUAAAUAUUUAAUUAGUUGAUAAUUACCUUUAACUAGAUCAAGAUAAUAGUUAUAUUUAUCAGAAAAACGAAUUAAUAUUGAUCUAAUUAGUUUAUGGUAAGUUAAGAUAAGAUAAACACAAAGAAAUCCCGAAUCUGGCCAUUCCUGACGCCUGGACUCGCCGAGUGCACAAAUGGACUCGCCGAGUCAGGCCUACUCGCCGAGUCCACUUUGAGACUCGCCGAGUCCAUGACUCAGAAACCAAAAAUUCGAAUUUUGCAGGUUUGUUUCAGUUAAUCAAGCAACAAUUUACAGAAAACCAAGCUAGGCUCUGAUACCACUGAUGGGUUUUAGCCAUAAGAACUUUCCUAUGUGCGCAUGCAAAACCCUAAUGCUUGGAUCUAGGCUUUCUAAUUAAACAUGCUUUGAAUCCAAGACUUCUAAUAGCUAAUUAGGUUAAAUAACAACAUUGAAACAGAUCUAGAACCAUACCUUUGAAUUCCUUGUUGAUCUUGUAGUCUUGGAGCUUCUAGAGUCACAAAUGUCACUCCUCUAAUGGCUUACAAACACCAAUAGCAAGGAAGAUGAUUUAGGAGAGAAGAGAGGGGAGGAAAUCGGCCAGAGUUCUCUUACUUUUGGUGAGAUACCGAUUUCCCUUACCCAUGGGGUCUAUUUAUACUUGUAGACUCCUUAAGGGUUACAGUCUAAACCCUAAUUGGAUAAUCUUCUCUUAAGGCUAUCCAAAUCCUUUCCUUAGAUAAUCCCUUGGACGAUUUUGAAGCUAUCCUAGCUUCUAGAAUCCGUCCCUUGUAUAUCUAUAAGGAUUUAUAGUCUAAAGCUUAACUAUCAAACAAUUGACAGUUUAUACCCCUUUAUUUAAUUAAUCUCUUUAAGUCACCAAAUUAAUUCCAAUUAAUUCUAUGACUUAUAUUAAUCAAAUAACCAUAUAUUAUUCUUUAUAAUAUUUACUCUCUCUUAAUAAAUCAUCCUAUCAAGUUGCUAUGGUGAAGGCAACCCAAAAGGACCAUGCACAACCGGGUCAAAUACUUGCCUAAUAUAGUUGCAGCCUUAGACACUAUUCCAACAAAUACACCGCUCACUGUGAGGUUCAAGCUUGUCGUGAGUCUCUCGUCAUACGAAAGCCUCACAAGCCCAAACCUUGAUAUGUGCCAAAUAGGGAACCUUCCCUGUCCACAUCUCAUGAGGUGUUUUGGCAACCUUCUUAGUUAGGACUAGAUUAAGGAUAUGGGCGACAGUCUCUAGGGCAUACCCCUAAAAUAAGAUAAAUAACGAAGCUCAACUCAUCAUGGAAUGAACCAUGUCCAACAAGGUUCGAUUGCACCUGUCAGCUACUCCAUUGAGUUGUGGUGUCCUAGUUGGCGUCAAUUGUGAACCAAUUCCACAUUCCUUGAGAUAGUCGUGGAACUCGAUACUAAGAUACUCACCACCCCUAUCGGAUCUGAGCAUCUUUAUCUUCCUGCCUUAUUAAUUCUCCACUUCUUGCUUAAACUCUUUGAACUUUUCAAAGGUUUCCGACUUAUACUUGAUUAAGUAGAUAUACACAUAUCUCCUACAAUUGUCGGUAAAAGUCACAUAGAAGCGAUGAGUAUCCCUUAUGGCGGAUCUGAAGGGCCCACACACAUCUGUGUGUAUGAGAUCCAACAAUCCCUCACCUCUUUCACAAGUACUAGUGAAAGGUGACUUAGUCAUCUUUCCAAGUAAACAUGAUUUGCAUAUGUCAUCUGUCUUUAGGUCAAAUGACUCCAAGACUCCAUCCUUUUGGAGUUGGGCUAUGCGCUUCUUGUUGACAUGUCCAAAACGACAAUGCCACAAGCAUGCCUUGUCUAAACCGUUAGAUGAAUCGAUAUGCAACACAUUAUUUCCUAAGCUAUUUACAACCAUCACAGUUUCAUAUAUACGACAAAUGCUUCAAAAUAAAAAGUACCAUUGUAAAAAGCAUUAAUAGAACCAAUGUCAUUGUUAAACGGAAAUCUAAACCUUGUCUGUAUAAAUCAUGAAAAGAAAUAAUGUUUCUCAUCAUUUCUGACGAGUAGCAACAAUCAUUCAAAUCUAAUCCUAAUCCACUACUAAGCACUAAAGAGUAAAUCCCGAUCUUGGUGACAAGCAACGAUUUCCUAUUUCCCAUUAUCAGGUUCAUCUUCCCAUGCUCCACAUUCCUACUUCUUCUUAGCCCCUGCAAAUCAAAACAAAUUUGAAAACCACAUCCUAUAUCAAGGACCCAAGAACUAGCAUGUGAUGAGUUAUUAGAUUGAGUAGUAUAAAUACUUGCGAAGGUGGGCUUUAUCUUCCCAUCCUUGAUGUCCUGCAAGUAUUUAGGGUAGCUUCGUAUCCAAUGCCCCUUUUCGUGACAAUAGAAGCACGUUGCUUCUUUGGGAUCAGAUGAGGGAGUGGUAGAGCCGACUUUACCUUUGGAUCCAUUUGAAGUAGAUCCAUCACGGGAAUUUCCCUUGUGGUUCUUGGAGGGAUCUUUCCACUUCUUCCUUUUUCCAUGUCCUAUUGCAAGGACUAGGGCGGCAGCAGCAAGGUGGACUCGACAACUUUGCCUUUUACUCCACUUUCAGCAGUUCUUAAUAAACCUUGAAGUUUGCUCAAGGUGACUUCCUCCUUAUUUAUAUGAUAAGUCAUCUUGAACUGAUCAUAACAAGUGGUAAAGAGUGGAGAAUGAUAUCAAUCGCCAACUCUUCAUCAAAGUUGACAUUCAACUUGAGCAACCGAUCCACAUACCUUUGCAUCCUUUGCAAGUAGGUCGUGAUGGACUCUCCACCUUUCAUCUUGGUUGUUAUCAACGAGGCAACAAUCUGGUACCUUUUUUGACGCACACUUUGAUGGUACUUUUCCAUCAAAUCUUGGCACAUCUCGUAAGGCUAGUAGUCCUCCUAGAAUCGAUGUAGCUCAAGAUUCAUAGUGGCUACCAUUAUACACGACACCUUUGUCGCAUCCUUCUCGUGAGCCCUAUACUCAACUAUCUGUUCAGAGUAGAUUUAGAUUCAUCGAUCUUGUUGAGUUGCUUGUCGAGAACGUAUUCCUUCUCUUCGUAACACAAGGCCAUUUGAAUGUUGUGAAUCCAAUCAUUGAAGUUGGACCCAACGAAGGUGAUACUCACACAAAUGUUCAUGAGAGAGAAGGAGCUUGAGGAGUUGGAGUUCGAGCUAGAAGCGUUGUUUGGGCCAGACAUCUGAAAAGGAAAAAGAACAAAGUUUAGAUUAGAUAAAGAAUCCAUAAUAUAACACCCAAAUGAAAUAUUAAGGGUAGGACCCAACACAAUAAUUCACAAUUCAGAAGAGGAAUGUCGUAAUCCAAUUGCAAAUUAUUUUAAGGUAGGUAAAUGACGAUUUACCAAUCCACCACGAUAAACGAAAUGAAGAAUUAGGUUUUAAAUGAAAUGAAAUUCAUGUAUUCUUUUAAGAUUCAUUGAACUUUUCAAUGGCAUGUUUAAUCUCGAUUAUGCCCUUCAAGUUUGUGAUUGGGAUACCGAGGAUCACAAACAAGGUGUGAAUAAUCAUGCAAAUUAGUUUGGCACUCUCGAGUCAUUUACACCUAAUCAAUGUGCCGGUUAACCACACACGCUCCAUUGAUCUAUGAUAAUUCUUGAGCUACCAUUUGCCACCCUUGUUAGUCCAAGUUAGUGUGCCGGUUAGCCACACACGCUCCACUAAUGACUUGGCAAGGUGCAAAGUGUAAUUUCAUGGAAUAACAUCAUUUUCACAUUUUCCUAAAGUAACUAAGAUUGGGAAUUUAUAAAAACGUUUAGUUACUUUAUAAUAUUCAUUAUACUUAUUAAUGAGGAAUUAAUGUCAUAUCCUACCAAUUCGACUAACGACCCUCCACUAGUCAAGAGUGCAGUGGAUAAGAGUGGAUACCUAAUGGAUGUCAUUUUAUAGGCCGCUUCCUUAAACACCUCUUAUAGACCAACGUCGUGAAUAAGACCUACUAACAGUAAGACUGACUCAUCUUAUACAUAUAUAUACAUACAAUUAAUCCUUUAAUAUUGUAGUAGUAUAAGGGUUGUAUUUUAAACUUUUAAAACACUAGGAGUUUUAGAAUUUAAUAUUUCAAAAUUAAAAACUUUUUAAUAAAAUUUUAAAUUCCAAAACUUGAGGACAAAUUUUAAAACCUUUCAAAACAUAUGGAUCAAAUUUUAAACAAUUAAACUAAUCACAUAAUUUGAACAUUAUCUUAAAAUUUGACCAUUAUCUUUCAGUUAGAUGAAGAUAAUCAUCACCAUAACAGAAAAUUCGAAUUUUAACAGUUAAAAUAGUUUAUGGUAAUUAUCCUUACCUAACUUAGGCUUGAAAUCCAAAAAUUCGCCAACAGACGAAUCAACUCGUCAAGUCAGGGCUUGGACUCGUCAAGUUCUGCAGUCAAAGAUCAAAAAUCAAUUUGUUCCAGCUUUGGCAAAACACAAUAGCAUCAAAUAUAACAGAAAAAACCCUAAGCUCUAAUACCAUUGAUGGGUUUUGAGCAUUACAACAUUCCUAUGGUGCAUAUGCAACCCUAUUUGCUUUGAAUCUAGGUCUUUCUCAAGUUAUACAUGCAAAUCAAUUUUCCAAAGCAAGAACCCUAAACUAGCAUACAAUUUUCGGAUUUAACAAUUAAACAAGAGUUAGAAGAAUACAUUUCUUGCUAACUAGUAGUAACAAGCAAUCCUUUCCUUGAUCUUGACCUUCAAGAGCUUAGUGCCUCAAGCGUUACACCUCUAAUGGAGUCACAAACACCACAAGCAAAGAAUGAGGAGGAGGAGAGGCAUAAAUCUUCUAGGGUUUCUUCUAGGGAAUCCAGUGGCCGAUUUUAGGAGCCUUGGGGUUCCUUUUAUAGUUGAGGCUACUAGGGUUUUCCACUGGAAACCCUAAUUCCCUUGCUUAGGCCCUAAGGAACACAUGGACCCCUACAUGGUAAGCCUUGGACGAAAAAUCUAUGGGCUUCCCAUAAAUUUUUGUCCACCCUAUACUAAUAGGAUCCAUUAGCCCAAAUUAUAACUAUUACUGAUUUACAUAAUCAGUCCAUGUUCUUUUAAUCAUUCUCAUUUGAUCACUAAAUCAACUCCAAAUUAAUUCUUGACCAACACUAAUUAAAUAAUAUGAUUUCUCAAUUAAUAUAUUAUUCCUAUAGUAUAUUAAUAAACCAUUAAAUAACCUCUUUCUCCAAAACUCAUUAUGUCCAAUUGUUAUGGUAAAGGCAACCCAAAAGGACCAUGCUAUUAUCGGGUCAAGUAUAUACCAAUUAUAAUUAUGGGCUUAGACACAUAAUCCAACAUGAGUAACCUAGGAAUAUGCAUCCAUCAGACUUCGGUGCAAAUUUGUAAAGAUGAUCAAUGUUGUUGAUCACAAAACAUCUGCAGCCAAAAAUAUGAAAAUAAAUGAACAUUGGGUUUGCGGUUAAUGAUACCUUCAUAGGGAGUCUUGUUGAGGCGUUUGCAAAUGAUGCUUCUAUUUUGAACAAAUCAUGCAGUUCCCACUGCUUCCGCCGAGAAGUAGAGAGGAAGGUUGGCAAAGUUCAACAUCGAUCUAGUUGCUUCAACCAAUGUGCGAUUUCUUUGCUCUACUACUCCAUUUUGUUGUGGGGUGUAUGGUGCCGAGAAGUUGUGACUGAUUCCCUUUAAUACCAAGAAGCUAUUUAACAGCCGAUUAGUGAAUUUAGUCCCACUUUCACUUCUUAUGCUUCUGACUAGCAGCUUGAUCUAGAUUUCUAUUUCCUUGAUGAAGUUGAAUAUGAUCUGCGGUUUGUCUGAUUUGAGCCUCUAGAAGAAGACCCAAGUGAAGCGAGUAAAGUCAUCAAAUAUAACUAGAAUGUAUUUCUUGUGGUGAAGAAUGGCUACGGUAGAUGGACCAUAAAGAUCAAUAUGCAAAAGCUCCAAAGGUUUAGCAAUUGAUGAGUCGAUGAUUAGAGGAUGUCUACCCUUAGUCUGUUUGCCACAUUCGUAGGUUGGGCACUGAGUGUCAUUGUUGUACUUAAGAAUUGGUAGUCCACGAACCAAUUCUUCAGUGACCAGGUUAUUGAUGUAUCUGAAGUUAAGUUGAGCUACUUUGCGGUGCCACAACCAACUCAUGUCAGACACUGCUUUUGAGAGAAAGCACAGUUUCGGUUUCCUGAUGAUUAGAGAAACAUCCAAUGGGUACAUUGUCCCUUCGACCUUGGAUUUGAUGAGGCAUGUGCUCCGGUCACUCAUCAUUUUGUAAAAAUACUCAUUGUCGAAUUCGACCCGAUGACCUGCUUUACAUAACUGCCCAACACUUAUCAAAUUAUGAUUGAGCCCCUCUAUGUAAGCAACUCGUUGAAUUGAGAAGUUUCCCAUAGUUAAUACUCCAUGUCCCCUUAUAGUUUCAUUUGCAUUGUUCCCAAAGGUGAUGUGUCCGUCACCGCUGAUUGUCCUGUAGUCUCGAAGGUAUUCUAACCUUCCUGUCAUGUGCAAGGAGCAGGCACAAUCGAUUAACCAUUCUUCUUCUUGUUCCUCCUUACACGUUGCCUACAUAAAUUAGUUGGUUAGUUUGGGCACCCAAACAAGUUUGGAGCCCUGGGUAACAUGAGACGCUUUCUUGAUAAAUGCAUGCACGUAGGUCUUAGGAACUGGUUUCUUUUUAGAUUUUAAACCUACUCCAGGGUGUUUAAUAACUUUUGGAGUGCUAAUAGAUUUGACGAGACGUGACUUUCUAGUGGGUAAAAUCCAAAAGCAAGAUUUUUCUCAUUUAUCCAGACCCCUUAUUUGGUCAUUGGUUUGAAGGAUGUGACAUUUUCUUUGUGACAGGUCCUUGAGGUAUGUUUUAUUGGAUUGGUCUUAGGACUUGAAAAAGUUUGUUUUGUUGGAGUGGUCUUGGGACUCGAUAAAGUUUUGUCAAGAGGUCCAGUCCGACGAUUUGACUUUGUGACAGACAAAAGUGAUUUAGAUAGUUUUGGUGUUGGCAAAAUACCCUUCCAAUUCGGAUUUGUUAAGGUCUUUUGUGAAAGUGACCUGACUUGUUUUUCACUCUUUGCAAAAUUAUUUCAAAAAGAUUUUGUCACAGUGGUUUCCCUUUCGUUUGGUCCAUCAACUGUAGUGUGAUUUUGAAAGUUUUUCGCAGUCGUGGGUUUUCCAAAAUUCUUUUUGUUUGGCAUUUCAACUUGUUUUUUGAAAUUCUUGUUUUUUACCUUAGUUUCCCGCUUUUCACGUUGGGAUCUGAUUUCUUUUUUAAGAGCCAACUUUGCUUGGGAUUUUGGUGAUACCACAUCAGAAACAUUUAAUUGCGGUUUUUUGACAUUCUUUGAUUGAGAUGAAAAUCAAGGACUUGCGUCAUCAGAACUAGAGGACUCAUGAUUUUGAGAACAUUGGCCAAAUUCAAAAUUGUUAAUUGGCCAUUCAUGGAAGAUUGGUUGGAGAGUAGUUGUGGACUUGACUUGAGUCUGCGGUAGGGAAGAUUGGAGUACCACAUAAUAGGUCAAAGGUGACUUUUGAAUAGGACAAGUCUUGGAGGACAAUGGUGAACAAUAUGUUGUUAGUUCAGGUCCUUCUAAGACUAUUUCUUCAUCCACAAUGGAACUUGAUCGAGAACCCGGACUAACUAUGCUAAUGAUGGGUAUGGAUUCAUCUAAAUUACCCAAGGAUUCAGAAAGAAUUUCCUCAAUGACACAGUUGUUGCUAAGUUCACGAAGUCUACCGAAGUGACACUAGAUGUCUUCGGGAUAUGUCUUAGUAUUGACUAGAAAUUGAAAAUGUCUAUCCAGUGGGACAUAGGGAUGUUCGGUAUUGAAUCGGGGAGAGGAAGUCUCAUCGGUUGAGAAUCCAUCGGACCAUCCCUAAUUAUAAGUGUUAUCUAUGGUCGCAUUGUUAACAAGAUUCUCAAUAGCUUCACUUUCAGUAAAGAGUUUUUCAAUUAAAAGAUUUAAUCGUACAAUCUCCUUGCGGGCAAGAUCUCGUUGAUUUAAAGAAAUAUCUAAUUGAGUUUCAUUUAACAUCCUAGCAUUUUUUCUAACAAUAAAUCCUUUUCUAACAUGGUAACCUUAAGCCUUUUGUCUUCUAGUCUUCCUCUCACAUGAUACAACUCUUAGGAUGCUAUGUUCUUUUUGUCUAGGGAUUUUUUGUAGUCUGAAAGGAUAACAGCACAAGUGAAAUAAAGUCUUUUAAUGUAAGGCUCACAAUCAUGCAUGCUAUAAUUAUUUGACUGAAUCAUAAUUUUUACCUGUUCAACGAUUCUGAGAGUUCUAUCUUUUACCAUGUAGUAAUAGUUGUUAUUCAGGCUUGUUGAUUCAUCUCCUUCAUUAAUUGCCACCAUGCAAAGUUUCCCUUUGUUGCAGUAGUUAUUAGCUUCUUCUUCUUCAUCACCCAAGGACCAGACUUGGUGAUCCCUUUUCACUUGAGCAACAUAAGAUCUUGCUUUUUCAUUUUCCUCCAUUUCUUGAGCCAUUCAGAGAUAAAAUGCCUUGUCUUUUACCUUAUUUGCUUUGCAGUCUUUGGCAAAGUAGUUUUCCUUGUGACACUUAUGACAAAUAACGACUCCAUCUUUGUCUUCAGUAGUGGUACCGGAGUCUGAAGGUUUGUUGUUCUACGGUGGUUCCUUUGGAGAAGUGUUCUGCGGUUGUGAAGGAUGAUGAGUUUAUGGGAUCUCGUGGAUGGUUAUUUUGUGGGUUGAAGUUGCGAUUGAAAGGUGGUUUAGUGAAUUAUUGGUUUUUGCGAAAGGAUGGUGGUGGGAGUCUAUUGAAUUGUUGACUGACCAAAGCAAUGACAUUUUGAAACUCUUCUUCGUCAUCUAGUUCUACAUUGGCUUCAUAUGACUGCGAUGGAUUGUCAUAUGUGUGUUGGUAUGAUGAUUAUGCGGUAUAUGGAUACUGAGGAGGUUUGAACUACAGGGUUUGAGCCAUCAAAGCAAGUGCGCCUCCCAAGUCUACACAAUCUUUUAACACCGUGGAUUCUUGUGCUUGCAAUUCACCGUAGAGUUUGAAUAGUGAAAGAAUGUGAAUCUUUAUAUCUCCUUGGACUAUCAUCUUUGUUGUGGUCCAAUGUCUACCCAAACCAUUCAGGAAUUGUAGCUUUGUCUCGUGAUUGCUUCGAACCGUACCAACAUUUUAUAGCUUUGUGAUGAUGAGGUUGAACCUUUUGAACGAAUCUUCAAUAAUUUGACCGGGAAGAGCUUUAAAGUUGUUGAACUCAUUAAGUGUAGUGGUGAGUUUCUUGUCUUGAGCUUGUUCAGACCAUUGAUAAAGAUUUUUUAGCACACCCCAGAUCUCCUUGGCAUAUUUGCAGUUGAUGAUGAUGUCGAAGUUGUCUGGAGAAACACCACAUGAUAUUUCGUAGAAGGCUAUGGCAUCUUUCUCUAUUUUGUCAAUAUCAUCAUAUUUUAGUCGAUUCAUGUCUUCCUGACCUCCUCCUAGUCAUGCUUGAGCACCAUCUGCUUGAUCAGGAGCGAGAACCGGGACAUGAGGUCCUUUUACCACAGACCCCCAUACAUCUCUACCUAGCCUCUUAAGAUACAUUUCCAUUCUUUGAGACCAAUGGUGGUACUCACUUGCAACAAGUAUUGGAGUUCUGUUAAAGCCUCCAACACUGUUAGAAACAUUCAAUGAUAAAACAUGUGCCAUAUUUCCCUUUUUGUUUUUUUAUUUUUUUUAAGGAUGAGCUUUAGUGGUAUAGAAGGUUUUCUAAAAUUAGAGUUUUGUUUAAAAAGCAACCAUUUUGGCUCUGAUACCAAUUGUUGAGAGAAAAACUUUGAAGAACACUUGAACAAAUGUUAAUACAAGAUAUAAAUUGCAAAAUAAGUUAAUCUCAAGGAUCUUGUUAGCUCAACAAUAAUAAGUUAGAAAUGUUAGAUUGUUAGAUGCGAAAAUGUAAAGGAAAUAUAAAUGACAACAAGUUAUAUCAAGUCGACACCAAGUUGAUUUGUAACAAGGUUUGCAUUCAAACACAAGUUAGUAAAUGUGAACAACUUAGGGUGAAGAGGGACUCGGUUUAUCGAAAGAUAAUAGAUAGAGAUGAAUGAUCUUUAUAUUGCAAUAAUAUAUCACAAAUAUCGUGAAGGUGUGUUUGAUACAGGAAGAGGGAGUCUCUAUUUAUAGAGUCCCGAAAAGUUACAUUGGAAAUAAACAAAUACCAUUCUACUGACUUCAAUGACCAUGCAAGUUUUGUUGGAAAAAACAAAGUAAACACACUAAGUUAGUAAAGUAACAAGAAAGUCUUCAUCAUUCAUCUCUGCGGUAGUUGUUGUGGUUGCGGUUGCAGUUCACAAAAGAUCUUCUCCAACUUCGGUAGUCAACUUCGGUAGCACCAAAAACUCAGAUUUCAGUUCCUUAGCUAAAAGAGGGUCAAUUUUUGUAACAGCAUUUGUGAUGCACUUGUAACCCCUAGUUUGAACUAGUUCAACUUAUAUUGUAUACAGGCCCGACCCAAUACCUGGGCGAGUUGGGCUUUGGCAAAGGGCAACAAAAAUAGAGGGGCAUAAAUCUGGUCCAAUAAGUAAUAGUAUAUAUGUGACUGUGGCCCAAAGUAUAAUCUAAUAAGUGGUCUGGUUCACUGGUGCUUGUGUACCUCGUGCGUCUAGGAGGAAAUACUAAGGCCUAAGAGCGUGGGCACCAGCCAAAUAAUCAAAGCAUUUUGAGAAUAGCAAUCGCCAAACCUAUCAAUUGUCUAGAAAAAUGCAAUUUGUAGAAAUCGAUGAGCCUCUAAUGGAAUGUGUACAUUUUUAUCCAUCUAAUCUGAUUGAUUUCUAUUUCAUUCUCAUUCUAGUUUCUCCCCUUCCUUCUUAAAACCUACUACACGUAUUCUCUAUAUCAUCCAAUAAUCCAAAUGCCGAUUUGUAUUACUUAAGUGUUUGUGCAUUUGUUGUAUUCACUUGUACUCGAUUGUACAUAACCUUAUUGUAAAAUGGGUUUGUUAUUCUUUAUUAUUAUUAUAAGCAAAUAUAGAAAAAAUGAAAGAAUUUUGAGGCUUUCGAUUUUUGGAUCGGGUGAGUUGGAUUUAUUUUCUUAUUUUGAUUUCUUUUUUCUCAUUCCAAUUUCCGAUUUAUGUUCACUGUAUUUUAAUUUGAUUUUUUUCCGAAGCAACACUGAAAACCUGAAGAUUUGUGAAGUUUUUGAUAAAUAUGAUGUUAAUUUUCGACAAAAAAGAGCGAUUAUGUAGGAGAUUUAAUGAGCUAUUAUAAAGAAGUGGUUUGAAUUGUUGUCAAGAUGUUAAGUUUUGUUAGUGACCUUAUUAAUUUUUUUGGCAAUCGUCUUCUAAUAGGUCUUACAUUUCUAGUUUCAGUUUAGUUUUUUUAUUAGUUUCCGUUUGUAGGGAUUUGCUCAUAUGUUUGUUGUUCCACAGCAUAUAUGGUCAAAGUUGCAAUUGCUAUAAGGGCAAUUCAAUGUGAAAUCAAGGUAUUGUUUUAAUCUUGGUUGGUUCAUUAAUACUGUAGCUAGUUUUAUCUUAUGAUUUUAUGAAAGUAUAGGUAAAAUUUGUAGGCACGGCCCUGAGGGUGUGCAAGAUGGGGAACCGCACAGGGCCCCGGAAAAAAUAGGGCCCGAUUUUUAGCCAAUUUAUAUAUAUAUAUAUAUGUUUGUGCAAAAUUUUAACAAAAUGUGUUCUUACUCAGCUGGUUUAAAGGCGUACACGUUGUUGGGUAUAACCAGGGUUCGAUCCUUGUAUUAAACUUUUUGAGAUGAUUUUUAUAAAUAUUAAAUUUUCUUAUAUAAGGGGCCCAUUUAUUACUUUUAGCACAGGGCCCUCAAAAUUAACGGACCGACCCUGAUAAUUUGCUACAUUUUUCACUAUUUCUAUUAAUAUUUUUUUCUAUUAAAUAGGGUUCAGCAGGUCAUGAAAUUUAUGGUGUUGUACAUAAAAGUAUCAUUGAAGUGCCAAGAAAUUGUUCAUAGUGAACUCUUGUUGUGCUUAAAAUGUAGGGUUAUUGUCAUUGUAGCCCAACUAAUUUAUCAGUUUUGUUUUAAAAGGUCCCUUGUCAUUUUAUUUGCAUUCUAAGGGUAUAAAAUUCAUAUUAACCUAUUUAUUUAGUCCUUUGACCCAUUGUAGCCAGUUUUUGUUCCAGACUAGCAAAGAAAGUCAUUUUCAUUAAAUGGCAUGGCUGCCACAAAGGAUUAGGGCACUAUACUGUCAGCUUGGGGAAUGCAAACGAUGAGUUCCAGCUUACAUCUUCCAACAUAGAUCAUCAUGGGCGGCUCAAUCAUUUUGGGGACUCUAAGCGAGCCAAAAAUUUGGGGCCCUUUGGCCUUUACUAUACUCGGAAAUCGAAAACGGAUGAGAUGAAUAUUUCACAGAAAUCAGAAUCGGUAGAAGAAUGCAAAGUUAUUUCAGUUUCAUGAGUGCAGCGAUCGUUGAUUUAUUCUUCUGUUUCAUUUAUUUUGUGGUUAUCGGAUUAGAUUUUUUAAUGGACUAAACCUUUGGACUUUGAAGAAUAUGGGGCCCCUUAGAAUUCGAGGCCCUAAGCGCUACCUUAAAAAUCCUCUACAUAGAGCCGGCCCUGAGAUCAUGAAGGCAGGAUGCCAAAAAAAAAUACACAACUGAUGGUCAAGGUAUUAAUUAUUAGAUCUUCAGUAUCAGAAGAUUAUUUGAUUAAUAGUUCGAACUUUAAGGUGCACAAGGAGGCAUAUAACCGCCGUUAGAAUGGUAUAAUGUUCCUGAUGGGUUGCCGGAGGGAUUUUCUGGUAAAGAGGGGGAGGAGAAGGGUGGCAGUGACUAUAUGUCACACCCCCGGACAAGACGGUGGAAACGUCCGGAGGCGGGUGACUUCGUUGUGCAGUAUCAUAACAAUUGAAUAUAAAUGAAACAGAGCAAUCCAAACAUCAUACAUUGAGAUAACAAACUUACAUUGUUUACAUAUUGUAUUUGUUCUUCGAGUUACACAAAAGUUGCAUAACUAGGAAAAGAGUCCAAACUACAGCUAAAUGGUCUUGCAUCAGCGUCCCUUGUUACCUGCUUACUAGAUCCCUGAGAAUACAAGUCGUUUUGAAAAGUGUCAACUAAAAAGUUGAUGAGUUCAUAAGCAUUUUUGUAUAAAAUCGUUUACACUUGUUUAGAAUCGUUCUUGUUGUACUUUCAGAAAAUCAGAUAUUUUCUAUGAAAUCGUUUGAAGUCUUGCCUUGAAAAUCAUGAAUAUAUGUGUGCAUGUCGUUACUUUUGUUCAUCCUUAUAAAGAGCGAUUUUGAAAAGUAGUGUGAUUUGUAAAAGUGAGUUGUGUCCGGGAAUAGUUAUUUUGAAUAGUAACAAUCAACCAUCUCAAGAAAAAUCCCUUAUUUUUAAAAAGGAAAUAUGGUUGAAAAUCAUGUUCCUCUUAUCGAGUAAAAUUGAGUGUGUGUGCGUUCUGGUUUAUCGUUAUCGAAAUCAUAAAAGAAUGUUUUCCCCAGAAAAUCCUAUAUUUUAUGCUACAAAAUAAUCAUAAGUUCUUGUUUAUCGUUAUCGAAAUCGUAGAAAAUCGUUUUCUCCAGAAAAUCCUAUAUUUUCUGCUAUAAAUAUUCGUAAGUUCGAGUUUAUCGUUAUCGAAAUCGUAGAAAAUCGUUUUCUCCAGAAAAUCCUAUAUUUUCUGCUAUAAAAUAUUCGUCAGUUCGGGUUUAUCGUUAUCGAAAUCGUAGAAAAUCGUUUUCUCCAGAAAAUCCUAUAUUUCCUGCUAUAAAAUAUUCGUAUGUUCUAGUUUAUCGUUAUCAAAAUCGUAGAAAAUCGUUUCCCAUAGAGUCCUAUGCUUUUUACUUUGUAAAAUAGCAGUAUUUCGACUCUAUGCUCGUUAGGAGAAAGAAUCAUGGCAAUUGUGGACAUUUUAUACGGUGAAAAGAAAGGACAGUCAACACAACAAAUGCGGACCAUCACCUAUCACGUAUAGGACAGUGUCAACACAAUGUGUCAAAUUUUAUUUAUGAGGUUUUCCUUACAUAAACUUCUAGUUAAUAUAACAUAUUCUAGUGAGUCGUUAUAACCAUACUAAUCAUGACGGAGUGCCUGUUUUGGCGUUUCUCAGGUGCCCUCGGUUUGGAAAAGACAUUUGUCACCCUAGACUGGCCUGUCUAGCUGUAGCGAACAGCGAAGGUGCGGGGUGUCAACCCCGUGUAGAUUUAUACAGAAAUUUCCGCUCUCCCUCCAGGAGACUCUGGCUAUAACUCCUUACAGGACUUAGACGUACACUAAUAUUUUUAUAUUUAGGUACUUUUGAGAUUUGUCUGACUAGAAUAUUAACAACCUUCUGGGCAAUCGUUAGAGAUUCAUUAUUUGUUAGAUAAAUAAUGAAAAUCGUACUUAUUGAAUAGAAAUAUCGUUCUCGUUCCAUAUCGUUGAUUGUGCUCGUUAACUAGGUGCUCGUGUUCGUUCCUUUUCGUUUAUUGAAAAAUAAGUCAUUUUAGUCAAGAGAAAAAGUGUCAAGUUAAAAUUUAUAUAAAUUUAUAACUGCCGGUUAUGACACGCAUUUUCUGUUUUAUGACAUAUAUAACAUUACUUGUGCUGUUGGAGGUUUUAUGACAGCAGUUAAUGACAUGCAAAUAUUUCUGUCAUAAAGGCUCUACUUGUAUAUUUUCUUGACGCAAACUUUUAUGUUGAAUAUUUAUAGAAUACUCCCUGAUAGUUUGCAAAAUAGUCACAAAGUUUCUAUUUUCGAAAAAUCACUAGAAAUGGUGUCCACUUAGUAAGAUCCCUUUUAUAACUUUUUAUCUUUAAACAUGGAAGCAUAGAUAAAGGGGUUAAGUUGGACACACUCAAUAGUUGGGAGGCUCUUUUGUUCAAAGUAUCCUCUGUUCUUUGUGAAAUUUAGAAAUCCUUUGUUCAUGAGUAUAUUACUAAAUAAUAAUUUAAUAAUAUUUCAUACACAUACAAACAUACGUAUAUAUGUAAUCAUUUAAGAGUUUAGGCAAGAUUUGACUUGUACUCUCCCCCAAAAACAUUAAAACAUGGAAAAAGGUGGGGUAUGAAGCUCACCUUAAGUUAGUAGAGGAGUUGUCUGGAGUUAUGGAGUGAAGAUCUCAAGCUUAAACUCUUGCUGAGAUGAGGAACUUCCUUGGGAGGGAUGCUUUCCUAAGGGUGAUAAUCACAUAUUAUGAAUAAAAUAAUAUGGAUUCAUUUUGAAAUAUUAUAAAAUAUUAGAUGGGUGGAGGAAUUUACCUUACAACUCCAGGGAGAAAUUGAGAAGUUUGUUUUCAACAAGUUAUUGUUCUUGCUUGGAGAUGAGUUUUGAGAGGAAAUGAGAAAUGUGAGAGAAUAUGUGAAGUCUAACCCCUUCACUGUCGUUGCUUUGGAGUAUAAGAAAAGGAAAGGAAUCUUUGAUGCAUGGGAAUCUGGUGGUCCAUGCAUGGAUAUUUGGUGGAUAAAGCAUGGAGUACUGUGAUUUGCAUGGGAAAUGAGGAAUUUCAUCAAAUCACAAAGUCAAUCCUUUUGUCCUUUUCUUGAUUUAGGAUAAGGUUUUCCUAAAUCCCAACCAUUUAUUUUUAUGAAGAGUAUGCUUAAAAUAAUUAAUUUUAGCAUAAAAUAAUGGUUUUAGGGGUCUCAGUUAAGAAAAACACGAGUUUGGUUGGAUUUCCGACCUCAAAAUACCUUAAAAUGGUAAAAAGGUCUGGAAUAGUCCAAAAUUCGGGGCUAAAUAGUGAAUUCCGGAACUCUAGGGCAAUUUCUGAAGCUGUUAGUUAAAUUUCGGAGCUAUAUCUUAAAUUCCGGAGGGAAGGAUGAAGGCUGCGAGGGUCUGAAGUGGCCAGCAUGUGUGUUCCGGAGGUGCUGUACGAGUUCCGAAGUUAAUGCCCACUUCCGGAGUCAGGCGCGCUUUUGGGUUGGUCCGGACCGAGGGUGCGAAGGCCGGCUGCAGCUUCCGAAGUAGGUCUUCAGGCGAGGUCCUUCCGGAGCUUACUCCUUCCAAAGUCAUGCAAGAGGGUCCGAAGCACAUAGGUUUAGAAGUGAUUCCUCCUGAUUCCUUAGAAGGGUGUCCGGACUAAGAGGGUUCCGGACUAAGAGGGUUCCGGACCAAGAGGGUUCCGGACCAAGAGGGUCCUUUUGGGGUUUCCUCUUCCAGUUUUGAGCUGUUUUCGACUAAGGAAGGUAUUUAGGGAGAUUUGAGAGCGAUUUGAGAUACGUGGAGAGAUUUGGGAAAUUUGAGAUACGUGGAGAGAUUUGGGAGAGAUUUCACAUACUUGGAGAGAUUUUGGAGAGAUUUCACAUACUUGGAGAGAUUUGGGAGAGAUUCACUAUUCUUGGAGAGAUUUUGCAUACUUAGAGAGAUUUGGGAGAGAUUCACUAUUCUUGGAGAGAUUUGGGAGGGAUUCACUAUUCUUGGAGAGAUUUCGCAUACUUAGAGAGAUUUCAGAGAGAUUCACUAUACUUGGAGAGAUUUGGGAGAGAUUCACUAUUCUUGGAGAGAUUUGGGAGGGAUUCACUAUUCUUGGAGAGAUUUCGCAUACUUAGAGAGAUUUCAGAGAGAUUCACUAUACUUGGAGAGAUUUGGGAGAGAUUCACUAUACUUGGAAAGAUUUGUAUUCUAACACUUUAUGGCUCCUUAGGAACUCAUAUUGAACACUUAGGUGUGUUAGCACAAGUCUCACAAUAGUUCUUGCUUACCCGAGGACGAAAUUUCCUAGCCAAAAGUGCUAGUUAUGACAUUGUCCCCCAUCGGAGAUGAUAACAAGGAGAUGUCUUUUUUUUGGAGAAAAUUGAUCACAUGCCAUUGCCAAGCAAUGUUGAGAUGUGUUUUUUAGAAGAUUGAUCCCAAAGCAACGUCAACCAUAACCCAGUUGAAUCGUUCAAGCUAUAGAUUUUGAAGUUACCAUGGUAGUUUAUUGUUAACCUCUUUCUGAUCCUAAAGCUUAGAUCUGUAGCAUUAAAUUGCCACCUAUCGCUGAGCUAAAUGCACCAAAAUCAUUGUAUACUCCGAUUAUGCUACUGUUGUAGGAGGUUCUUCCAUAAACCCACACAUUUUAUCCAGGAUUAGGAUUGGGAAAGUACACACUUGAUAUUUCUGGGCCAUCAAAAAUAUGUAAAAUCGUUAAUGUUGUUAUAGCUCAAACCAAAAUACCCAGAUUCAAAACUUCCUCUUCUUAAAGCAGAUACCAAGCGUUUGAGAAGGCAAAAGAAUAUCUGUUGGGUAAUCAAAACUUUGCUAAAGAAUUUGACCUCUUUUUUUCUUCAAUACAAGAUUACUUGCAUUCAGCAAGACUAUUCUAUUGACACCUGUUGAUGUUGUGUUUGUUUCCCACACGAGCAUUCCAUCCAUAUUGGUCAAAACCAUGGCUCUGUUUCUCAUAAAUGUCAUAUUUGAUCCAUGGUUAUUGAUAGGUGUGUCAGUUGGCUGUCUAGACCAUGGCGCUUUCCUUGGAGUUUGUGAACAAAAUUGCAAACCAACAAGCAUUGCUUUGGAAACUAUAAAAGCUACAAGUGUAAGAGUUGUAUGGAGAUCUUAAGACGUGUGAAUUAUCAUCAACGGAUAGAUAUGAACCUCUUUGAAGAUGAUCAUGAAUUGAACGUUAUGGUGUAAUCAGAUUAGUAAUAACAAAUUCGAUUUCAUGGGAAGUCGUUGGAUGGAUCAGACGAUACAGUUGAACGUUAUGGUGCAUGUCGAGAGUCGUCGAUUUUGCAUUUGACGAGUCAGGUGGCGUCGAGUGAUAGAAAAGGAACGGGAGACGAAGAACAACAAGAAUAUGUGAUUGGAUGUUGAAAGCUUAUAUUCGAAGAGUGAUGAGAUCAUAGGUGGGUAAUGAGAAUUGAAAAUUGUAUUGGUGAAAAAAUUAGGGUUGGUAUUGUGAAGAAGACGACUAGAGCGAACUGCACAAUACAUAAAUUGAUUUUUUAAUUUAAAGUAAAACUACAGAAAAGCCAUGUAGACUUAAAUUGAUUUUUAAUUUAAACUAAAACAAAAGAAAAGCCACCUAGACAGUGUAAUCGUUUGUAAUGGGUCAAAAUCACUAAAUAAACAGGUUAAUAUAAAUUUUAUGCCCUUAGAAUGCAAAAUAAAAUGACGAGGGACCUUUUAAAACAAAACUGAUAAGUUGGUUGGACUACAGUGACAAAAACCCUAAAAUGUUAAAAGGAUUUAGUUAGACUAACGGUGAUGGAAAGAAGUAAAUCUUGGAUUGAAGUGUAGUUGUGGAUACUUUCAUAAAUGAUAACAUGAUUCGACCUCAAUUUGUGAUGACUUGAUAUGUGGAUAAUCUGAUUAAUUAAGAAGGAAAUCAUCACUGUCCUAGGAAUUAAAUAAAAGAAAGGGACAUUGUAAAUGGAGUAUGCUUGUUGUUGAUGUUUUUGUAAUUGAGAAGUACAUGAUAUUUUUAUUUUUUGUGUUUUGAUAGUACAUGAGUUAAGGAUUUAAAGGUUUGUAGUUAGUUUCAUUAGUUUCUGUUGAUUUUUAUGUAGGUAGAUAUAGACAAUAAAACUAAUUAUUUUUGGACACAGGGGCAUUAAUUUAUUAUUUUGCCUCGAACAUGAAAAACCAAUAGACCGGCCCUGAUUGUAUAUUGAACCGAACUUUCACAUUGUCCAUUGAUAUGAUUGCAAGUAAUGUCAGGAUAUGUGUGUUAAUCCCUCUUGCAAGAUACCAAGUGUUACAUGUAGGGUAGGGUGUCAAUCAAUGACACAACACGACAAAAUCACACAAAACAAAAUUGGAAUGAAACUGAAAUUUAAGUUCGUGUUUGUGUCUAGCGUAAAAAACGCGAUGUCAUGUUUUAUUGUGGUUGUGUUCAAAAUUUGAGACAAAAUUGACAUGAUAUUCACCCAUGUUUGUCGUAUUUUGUAUACUUAAGUAUGAAUUAAAUAAACUAAUGAUUAUUUUAUGUUAUUUUUGUUGUGUAGUAUCGUGUUUUAAAUAGAUCGUUUUCGUGUUAGUAAAGAAUACAUGUCAUCGUGUCAUGUUUUGUUCGUGUUAGGUAAGACAUCAUUGUGCCCGUGUUACCCAAUAAAUUGUCGUGUCGUGCCAUGUAAAAAAAAAACAUCACACGAUUGUUCAAUUUAUCAUUCAUGAUGUAGCGUAAAUAUCUUGGUCACUAUCGGUAUUGAUAUUCUUUUUGCACAAAAAAAUGUCAUUUUUUGCCCUCAUGUGUAACAUAUUUUAUAGGUUAGCCAACCAAAAUGCGACAGUUGUAAAAUUUCUUAAAUACAUACUUUUUUCGAAGCAACAAAGUAAAGCUUGAAAAUCGCACAUAUUGUUUGUGGUUUUGAUUCUAUGAUGUCUUAAUCAACUAUUCCUUCAAAUGAGACUUCCGCGUGUAUUUUAAAACCCAAAAAGAACCUAUGAACUUCAAAAUAAUUGACAUUGGUGAUAAUCUCGUUUAUUCCAUGUUAGCUACGUAAACGUAGGUUAUCCAAAACAAAAAAAAUCCAUGUCAUUUUGUUUUUCCAAAUGCGGGCUACGAAGCUCAUGAUACAGGAAAAUUGCCUUGAUUUAACUAGUUCACAAAUAUUAAAUGACUUCUAUGCAGAAAAAAAUAAUUCAAUAAUGUUUUUUCUCCGAAAUGAAAGCAAAAUAUAAAUACUUUCUUAGAAUUUCUCUUUAAUAUUGUAAAUCUAAUUCCUUGCAUGAUAUUGUGGGAAAACUGCAAUAAAGUCCUUACAUAUUAACCUCAUAAUCGAUUUAAUCCUUAUAUUUAUUUUUUAUUCAAUUAAGUGUCAAAUACCGGUAAUUGUAUUCAAUUUAACCCUUUGACCCGAUCAACGGGUCAUCCAACUUUCAAAAGUUACUUUUUUGGCCCAGAUUUCAAAAACUAUUACAAAUUUGGUCCAAAUUUUACACUUUUGGCCCAAAUUUUAAAUUUUGUUACAAAUUUGGUCCAAACUUUACCCUUUUUGCCCAAAUUUUAGAAAUUUAUUAUGAAUUCAUCCUAACUUUAGUUUUUUUACAACUUUUUUUCUCAAAAAAUUGUUUCUAAUAUGGUUUUUCUUUAUAAAAUCAUAUUUAUACAAAAAAAACAUAUUUUCACGUAAAAAUCUUAUAUUUUCUAUAUAAAAACUUUUUUUUAAUUUUUUUUUGUAUAUGAAGUAUCUAGUUAUAAAAAUAUAUAUAUAUAUAUAUUAAGUAUAUAAAUUUAUACAAAACCAUUUUUAUAAAAAAAUGUAUACAAAAUGUAUUUUACAAAAAAAAAUGUAUACAAACACCUAUCACCUUUGUGUGUGUGUAUCUAUUUUUUUAUAAAAUCGUGUUUGUUUAUAUUUUUUUUAUAAAAACGUGUUUGAGUAAUUUUUUAUAUAAUACGUGUUUCUAUCCAUUUUAUAAAAUUGUGUUUGUAUAUAUUUUAUAAAAAUGUGUUUAAAUAAUUUUUUUAUAUAAUACGUGUUUGUAUAUAUUUUAUAAAAUCAUGUUUGUAUACAUUUUAUAAAAUGUAUACGAACAUGUAUUAUAUAAAAAAAUUAUUCAAACAAGUUUUUAUAAAAAAAUGUAAGCAAACAAGAUUUUAUAAAAAAAAAUAUAGAUAAAAUAGGUGUUUGUAUACGUUUUUUUUUUGUAAAAUACAUUUUUGUAUACAUUUUUUUUAUAAAAACGGAUUUGUAUAUAUUUAUAUACUUAAUAAAUAUUUAUUUUUAUAACUAGAUAUUUCAUAUAAAAAACUUUUUAAAAAAAGUUUUUAUAUAGAAAAUAUAAGAUUUUUAAAUGAAAAUACGUUUUUUUUGUAUAAAUAUGAUUUUAUAAAGAAAAAACAUAUUAGAAACAAUUCUUUGAGAAAAAAAGUUGUAAAAAAAACUAAAGUUUAGAUGAAUUCAUAAUAAAAUUCUAAAACUUGUGCAAAAAGGGUCAAGUUUGGACCAAAUUUGUAACAAAAUUUAAAAUCUAGGCCAAAAGUGUAAAUUUUGGACCAAAUUUAUAAUAAAUCUGGAAAUUUGGGCCAAAAAUGUAAUUUUUGAAAGUUGGAUGACCUGUUGACCGGGUCAAAUGGUUAAAUUGAAUAAGAUUAUCGGUAUUUGGGACUUAAUUGAAUUAAAAAAAUAUAUAUGGACUAAAUCGAUUAUGAGGCCAAUAUAGGGACUUUAUUGCAGUUUUCCAUGAUAUUGUUGGUCUAGCCGUAUUUUAUUUGAAUUGUUUAACCUGUCACCUCACUCUGCAUAAAUUAACUACCAUGUGUGAUAUAAAUUUUAUGUCAUAUAUAAAAGGUCUCUACUCUAAUUAGCAUUUUUAAGAUACAAGAGUUGGGUUUGGAAACAAAACUUCAUACGUUAUAUUUUUGGUAGAUGUUUUUAGACUUAGAAGAUAAUAACUUCUUAUUUACAAUAGCUUAUAUAUUAACUAGACAAAUUUACGCGCGUUGCGCAGUGUGCAAUUAUAUUGUUUAAAAUCUUGAUUUUUAUAACGAGUGUUUAAUUGUUAGAAGUUACUAUAAUCAAGUUAAUAAAAUUCAUCAACGUCCGGAUUAAAACGCAAGACAUUCAAUCUAAAAGAAAAAUCUCUAUUAAGUGAGCUAGUCUCACACUAACNACUUGUAACAAAGUAAAUGUAAUUGACUUUUGGUGAUUAAAUAAUAAAGUAUUAUUUAUAAGUUUGGGUUCUACCUUUUGUCAAUUGUUUAUUAUUGUGUUUCAUUUUUGCAUGUUUUACUUCCCGAAUAAUAAGAUUAUUCAAACUCCACAGUCGCUCGUACUUUUGGAAGUAAGUAGUGAAUCAAGACUGUCAUGAACUGGAUUGUAGAUUGUCUAAGGAUAGACAUGGCAAUAGAUUUGUUUCAACGUUCAUGAGUACUCAGAAAUUAAGAUUUGAGUAUUGGAUAAACCCUAGCUCAGAGUAUUACUUCAUGGAAUUCAUCACGAGUAAUACUGAGACGAUAAUAUCUUAUAAUCUUGAAACAGAUAUAUAUAUAUAUAUAUAUAUAUAUAUAGAGAGAGAGAGAGAGAGAUAGAGAGAGAGAGCUAGGUUCAAAUGUUUUUAGCAAGUAUUGUGUGCCUAAAUGCACCAAUGAGAAUUCAAGAAAUAAUAAAUCAUUAAAGGGUGUUUUGGACAUUUUGUACUUUUAAUUAACGAAAUCAUUUACUUUAAAUCUUGCAAUUAAGGAAAUAAAGUAAUAUAUUUGACCUAGUCAUUUGUGUUCUUGUUUAUAGGCGUGCAUAUUGUUCCAUUCCAACCCUAGCACAUCUCUUUCUUUUUUGCAGACUUCUUUAGCAACCAGCGAGAAUGUUUGAUUAGAGAUAGCUUCAACAUGAAUCUUCCAGAUUUUCGUUUCAGUCAGCCUUCAUCUUCCAGAUUUUCGAUUCAGUUUGAACAUCGAUGGAUGUUUGAUUAGAGAUAACUUCAACACGAAUCUUGAAGAGGAAGGGGUUCGGUUGUGUGCUCUCGUUAGGGCUUCUUUCGGCCGUGUUUCAUGGGACGACAUCACAUUCGCCGCCUGUUAGCGCGGUGGAGUCCUCCCACUUCGGUAACAUCACCUGCCUGGCUUUCACUUCCGCCAGACCUUCUGCUACCUGGAGCUGUAUGAGAUGCUUAAAGGGUUCUGAUUGUGGAUUUUGUGCUUCACAAACUGAUAAGGUAAAAACCAUACUUGUUAUUGACUUUUUUAGUUAAACUAACUAAUCUUUAACUCCAUAACUCGUACCAAUCAUUCAAUCUUUUCAUAAUCUACAAAAGCCCAUUUUGAGGAACAAAACUAUAAUCAAUUCUGAGAUAUACCCAUUAAGAUUUCGAGGUGUUUGUGGUAGAAUCGCUGCUACAUCAAACUAGAUUUCAAAUCUUAUCGUUGCUCAAUCAUUCUUAUCGUUAACUGAAUCCAAAGGAACUUCCUAGACUUUUCUAGGGUUUGGGGUUAUAUCAGUCAUAGGAACUUAAUGGACUUUUCUCAGGUGCCUAAACAUUUUUCUUGCUUUUCAAGUUUCUAUUAAUUCUCAGGUUCAAUUUUUCUUGCAUCUUUAGCUUGUACUCAAUAAUUAACUUGAACAUGUUAGGCUUNUAAUUUCCCAAUAAAGUUAACCCGAUUCCAAAUCUUUUAUAAUAAACUGUUUGUCAACUUAUUUAUGUUGUUGAUCUUGUAUAUGAUGGGUUUUAGCCAUAAGAACUUUCCUAUGUGCGCAUGCAAAACCCUAAUGCUCGGAUCUAGGCUUUCUAAUAAACAUGCUUUGAAUCCAAGACUUCUAAUUACUAAUUAGGUUAAAUAACAACAUUGAAAUAGAUCUAGAAUCAUACCUUUGAGUUCCUUGUUGAUCUUGAGGUCUUGGAGCUUCUAGAGUCACAAAUGUCACUCCUCUAAUGGCUUACAAACACCAAAGCAAAGAGGAUGAUUUGGGAGAGAGGAGAGGGGAGGAAUUUCGACCAGAGGUUCCUUUCUUUAGGUCAAGUGUCGAAUUCCAUCAGCCAUGGGGUCUAUUUAUACUUGUAGACUCCUUAAGGAUUACAGAUAAGUCCCUAUCAGAUAAUCUUCUCUUAAGGCUAUCCAAAUCCAUUCCUAGAUAAGUCUAAUGGACGAUUUUAGCUAUCCUAUAGCCUCUAGAAUCCGUCCAUAGCAUAUCCAAAUGGAUUUACAGUCUAAAGCUUAACUAUCAAACAAUUGACAGUUUAUACCCCUUUAUUUAAUUAAUCUCUUUAAGUCACCAAAUUAAUUCUAAUUAAUUCUAUGACUUAUAUUAAUCAAAUAACAAUAUAUUAUUCAUUAUAUUAUUCUCAUAAUAUAUUAAUAAUAUUUACUCUCUCUUAAUAAAUCAUCCUAUCAAGUUGCUAUGGUGAAGGCAACCCAAAAGGACCAUGCACAACCGGAUCAAAUACUUGCCUAAUAUAGUUACAGCCUUAGACACUAUUCCAACAGUCUCCCACUUGGAUAAGUCUAGUAACUAUACAAGUACAAUUCGGUUUGCAAUCGUAGCUCUCAAAGACGCUGUCAACUCUGAUCUAAUCAAUCUUGUCCUUUAGAUAAGGGAACGUACAGUCCUCUGUUAGAUAUCAUGCUGACAAUCCUAUGGAAUGGUUAGUCAAGCAUUUAGGUUUCUCGAUCUCUGAUUUAUUUGACAUAGAACUUAAUCGAACACAUCAAUUCAGUUCUGACCGGGCCCGGCACAUAAGUCAAAUCAAAUCAUCGAGCGGCCGAGAUAUCGCUUUUACCUUCUUAGAUAAAAGUUACAGAUAAACUUCGACUUAUAUGCAUUUACUUAUUCAUUAACCAACUAUACACAACAAUGCGUUUUAUAACACCGAGUUACUGAUGCGUUUUCGCAUUAUCAAUGUACAAUCAAUUAACAAAUAACAAACCAUAUAUCUAGGUUUUAAGACUAUAUGAUAUUAUCGUCUUGCGAUCACCCUUUUAUAUCAUAUUCCAUAAGGUGAUUCCAGCAAGCGCGGGUUUGUUCCAAUGCUCAAAACUAGUUCAUAAGCACUCAUGAACGUUGCAGCAACCCUUUGCUAUGUCUAACACCAUUUAGACAAUCUACACACCAAUUCAUGACAAUCUUCAUUCAUAUCUACUUCCAACAUAUGAACGAUUGUGGACAAUUUGAACAAUUCGAUUAUUCCUAAUAAACUCAAUUAUUCUGGAAGUCAAAACAUGCAAAGUGAAACAAUAGCUAAACAAUUAACAUAAGAUAGUAACAUUACUCAUAAAUAAAACUCCUUUAUUUAAUCAUCAAAUGUUAAUUACAUUUAUCUAUUACACGUUUCUAAUACUAUCUAAUCUAUGCUAAUAUCAUCCUUCAGCCCAAUACUCCUAGCAUGCUGCAAGUGCUUAACCCUACUCAGUCCCUUCGUAAGCGGAUCUGCUGGGUUAUCUUCUGAUGAUAUCCUCUUCACUACGAGUUGUCCUUCUUCUACACGAUGUCUAAUGAAGUGAUAUUUUCUGUCGAUAUGUCUUGAUCUACCAUGAUCCCUCGGUUCCUUGGUCAAGGCAACCGCUCCUUCGUUAUCACAGAAAAUCUCCAUGGGCUCCUUUAUGGCAGGUACAACUCCAAGAUCACCGAUGAAGUUCUUUAGCCAUAUUGCCUCCUUCGACGCUUCGCUCGCUGCAAUGUACUCUGAUUCGCACGUUGAAUCAGCUACGGUUUCCUGCUUGGAACUCUUCCAUGUCACUGCUCCUCCAUUUAGGGUAAAGACCCAGCCCGACUGCGAACGGUAGUUGUCCCUGUCGGUCUGAAAACUGGCGUCACUAUACCCUCGCACCUUCAAGUCAUCACUCCCUCCGAGGACUAAGAACCAUUCCUUCGUCCUCCGAAGGUACUUAAGGAUAUUCUUCACCGCAAUCCAAUGUGCUUUGCCAGGAUUCCCUUGAUAUCUGCUAACCAUGCUCAAAGCGAAGGCUACAUCAGGGCGAGUACAAGUCAUAGCGUACAUGAUUGAGCCAACUGCGGAAGCGUAUGGUACUCGGCUCAUUUCUGCUAUCUCAGCUUCGGUACUCGGACUUUGAGUCUUACUCAAUUUGGCAUUACUUUGUAUCGGUAGUUCUCCCUUCUUUGAGUUUUCCAUACUAAAACGUUUUAGUACCUUCUCUAAGUAAGUAUUCUGACUAAGUCCAAUUAGUCUCUUACUUCUUUCUCUUACUAUCCUUAUUCCCAAAAUGUAAGAAGCCUCUCCGAGGUCCUUCAUAGCGAAGCACUUCCCGAGCCAGGACUUAACCUCCUGCAGAGUCGGGAUGUCGUUUCCUAUGAGUAAUAUGUCAUCGACAUAUAGAACGAGGAAGCUUACUAUACUCCCACUGGCUUUGACAUAUACACAAGAUUCGUCUUCGCUUCGUACAAAUCCAAACUCUUUGACUUUCUCAUCGAAGCAAAGAUUCCAUCUGCGAGACGCUUGCUUAAGUCCAUAAAUGGACUUCUCAAGCUUACACACUCUAUUCGGAUGCUUCGGAUCCACAAACCCCUCUGGCUGAGCCAUGUAAACAUCCUCAGCCAACUUUCCGUUAAGGAAAGCGGUCUUGACAUCCAUUUGCCAAAUCUCAUAAUCAUGAAAUGCGGCAAUAGCUAGCAUCACUCUAAUAGAUUUAAUCUUCGCAACUGGUGAGAAGGUCUCAUCAUAGUCAACUCCGGGAGUUUGAGUAAAGCCCUUCGCAACCAAUCGCGCUUUAUAUGUGUGUACGUUUCCAUCCACGUCGGUCUUCUUCUUGAAGAUCCAUUUGCACCCAACGGUCUUACGUCCGGGCACAUAAUCAACCAAAUUCCAAACUUGGUUAUCAUACAUGGAUUGGAUCUCGCUAUCCAUUGCCUCUUUCCAUUUUGCAGACUCCGGGCCUGCCAUGGCUUCCUUAUAGCUAUUAGGUUCAUCAAGAUUUACUAGUGUACCAUCACUAAUAUACGUGUCCCCUUCGGUAGUAAUAUGAAAGCCAUAAAACUGGGGAUGAACUCUAACUCUAUCGGAACGUCUAAGAGGUAAGGAUUCGUCAAUCGGUUCAACCGGAGUUUCCUCCUCGGGUUGAGUGCCAGCGGUAGAGGUUCCUUCAUCUAUCGACUCUUGAAUCUCUUCAAGUUCGAUUUGCCUCCCACUGUCUCCUUGGCUUAUGAGUUCUCGCUCUCGGAAAACUCCUCUCCUCGCAACGAAGACAACAUUGUCCUUCGGUCUAUAGAAGAGAUAUCCAAAGGAUGUCUGCGGGUAGCCGAUGAAAAUACAUCGCUCACUUCGAGGUUCAAGCUUGUCGUGAGUAUCUCGUCUUACGAAAGCCUCGCAACCCCAAACCUUGAUAUGUGCCAACGAGGGAGCUUUCCCUGUCCACAUCUCGUGAGGUGUUUUGGCAACCUUCUUAGUAGGGACUCGGUUAAGGAUAUGGGCGGCAGUCUCUAAGGCAUACCCCCAAAAAGAGAUUGGUAGUGAAGCACGACUCAUCAUAGAGCGAACCAUAUCCAAUAAGGUUCGAUUACGCCUUUCUGCCACACCAUUCAACUGCGGUGUCCUAGGAGGCGUCAAUUGUGAAACUAUUCCACACUCCUUGAGAUAAUCGUGGAAUUCAAGACUUAGGUACUCUCCUCCUCGAUCGGAUCGAAGCAUCUUGAUUUUCCUGCCCAAUUGAUUCUCCACUUCAUUCUUGAACUCUUUGAACUUUUCAAAGGUGUCUGACUUUUGCUUGAUUAAGUAGAUAUACCCAUAUCUACUAUAGUCAUCGGUAAAAGUCACAUAGAAGCGGUUCCCAUCCUUCGUGGUUGAUCUAAACGGUCCACAUACAUCGGUAUGUAUUAGGUCCAAUAGACCCUCGCCCCUUUCACAUGUACUCGUGAAGGGUGACUUAGUCAUCUUUCCAAGCAAACAAGACUCGCAUGUGUCAUCUUCCCUAAGGUCGAAUGACUCCAACACUCCAUCCUUUUGGAGUUGGGCUAUGCGUUUCUUGUUGACAUGUCCAAGACGACAAUGCCACAAGGAUGCUUUAUCCAUACUAGUGGAAGAAUCAAUAUUCAAAACAUCAUUUCCUAAGUUAUCAACAAUCAUAACGGUUUCAUAUAUUCCAUUACAUGGUAUAGCUUCAAAGUAAAAGACACCAUUUAGAUAAGCCAAAAUAGAACCAUUCUCAUUAUUAAAAGAAAAUCUAAAUCCUUGUCUAUAUAAACCAUGAAAUGAAAUGAUGUUUCUUGCCAUUUCUGGCGAAUAGCAACAAUUGUUCAAAUCUAAAACUAAACUAUUCCUAAGCACUAAGGAAUACACUCCAAUCUUGGUCACAGGCGACGAUCUUCUGUUCCCCAUGAUUAGAUUGAUCCUUCCUUGCUCCACAUCCCUACUUCUUCUUAGUCCCUGCACAUUAGAACAAAUGUGAUAACCACAACCGGUAUCAAGAACCCAAGAAAUAGCAUGAUUAGAAUCGUUAGAUUUGAUUGUAUAUAUACCUGCGAAAGAUGGCUUGAUCUUUCCUUCUUUGAUUGCUUGCAGGUAAUCCGGGCAGCUUCUCUUCCAAUGUCCUAUCUUGUGGCAGUGGUGGCACUCUGCCUCCUUCGGGUUAGAGCAGGGCUUAGCGGGAUCAACUUUGGUCCCACUAGAAGAGGCACCAUCUCGGGCUUUCACCUUGCGAUAGUUCUUCGAUGAAGCUUUCCUCUUCUUUCCCU